ACUUUUUAAAUGAUUUGGUUUAAAUUUAAUUCCCUUAAUUACUUUCUGAACAUAAUGAGUUCAUUGUCCUUGUGAUUUGUGAACUGUAGCUAUUAUGGUUGGAAGUUGAAAUUAGUGUUAGAAUGUGUUUAAAAUAUAUGUUGCCUUUGUGGAAUUUUUAGCUUUUAUUUAUGGCAUGAAUUUGAUGUGUAUGGCUACUUGAAUUCUCUAUGCCUUUCUCCCUGUUCCUGUAUCCUAUUUUGGUAAUUAAAAAUGUGGGAUGAUAUUUGCAGUUGUAGAUCAAAAGAAAAUGGCAGUGCCAUAAAAUCAGACAAAAGGGGGCUUAUCCAUUGUAGGUCUUUGAUUUUGUGAUGAACUGCUUCUCAUUGUAAAAAGAACCCCUUAACAUCCCGUGAAAAUAGUGAGUUAAACCGCACAGUGUGCCAAUUCUGUUUGGGUUUGAGACUACAGCCUUAGUUGAUGUUCCAAUUAGCUCAGUUAGUGGUUAAUAUCUUGGGUUAAAACAGUUAAGAUUUUAAGAUAUUGCUUUUUUGUCGUGGUUGAUGCAAUAUCAGAUUAGUAAUAAUCAACAACGAAGAAAAGGAGCAGAGGAGAAACACAAGAAGAGAGAAGAAAGAAGAAAGGAGAAUGAAAGAGAAACUGAGAGAAAGAAUGAGUUGAUCGAAAUAGGUUGUUAACAACUUGUAACAAUACCCUAUAAACACACAUAACAUAAAGACGAUGACAAUAAAGUCCCUGCUGUAUAUAAAUAAAACAUUAACACUCCCCCACAAGCUGUAGUAUAAAUAUCACCAAUGCCGCAGCUUGGAACAACCGUCAAGAAAAGCAGGUCGAGAUAAAGCCUUGGUGAACAUAUCACUCAAUUGGUCACCAGAAUGAACAGAAGUAGUAGAGAUCAAUUUCGUCAUUACAACAUUUCUCACAAAAUGACAGU